rnacentral:rRNA from 1 species
CAAGUCGAGCGAGGCGGGUAGCAAUACCCAGUCGAGCGGCGAACGGGUGAGUAACGCGUGGAUUAUCUGCCCUGAGGUGGGGGAUAACCCGGGGAAACUCGGGCUAAUACCGCAUAUGACCGUGAGGUCAAAGGGGGGUCGCAAGAUCUCUCGCCAUAGGAGGAGUCCGCGUCCGAUUAGCUAGUUGGUAGGGUAAUGGCCUACCAAGGCGACGAUCGGUAGCCGGCCUGAGAGGGUGAUCGGCCACACUGGAACUGAGACACGGUCCAGACUCCUACGGGAGGCAGCAGUGGGGAAUUUUGCGCAAUGGGCUAACGCCUGACGCAGCAACGCCGCGUGGAGGAUGAAGGUCCUUGGAUUGUAAACUCCUGUCAGCAGGGAAAAAGGGACUCGACCUCAUACGUCGGGAACUUGAUUGUACCUGCAGAGGAAGCCCCGGCUAACUCUGUGCCAGCAGCCGCGGUAAUACAGAGGGGGCAAGCGUUAUUCGGAAUUAUUGGGCGUAAAGGGCGCGUAGGCGGCUUGGCAAGUGGAUGGUGAAAUCCCUCGGCUUAACCGAGGAACUGCCGUCCAAACUGCUUCGCUUGAGACCGGGAGAGGUGAGUGGAAUUCCCAGUGUAGCGGUGAAAUGCGUAGAUAUUGGGAGGAACACCAGUGGCGAAGGCGGCUCACUGGACCGGUACUGACGCUGAUGCGCGAAAGCGUGGGGAGCAAACGGGAUUAGAUACCCCGGUAGUCCACGCCGUAAACGAUGAGUGCUUGGUGUAGCGGGUAUCGACCCCUGCUGUGCCGAAGUCAACACAUUAAGCACU